rnacentral:rRNA from 1 species
GAUGAACGCUGGCGGCGUGCCUAAUACAUGCAAGUAGAACGCUGACACUAGGUGCUUGCACCUCGCGGGUGAGUUGCGUACGGGUGAGUAACGCGUAGAUAACCUGCCUGGUAGCGUGGGAUAACUACUGGAAACCUUAGCUAAUACCGCAUAAGAGACGCUCUGGCAUGACCUUUAAUUUAAAGACGCCUUUGCCGUACUACCAGCACGACCCACGUUGUAUUAGCUAGUUGGUAAGGUAACGGCUAACCAAGGCAACGUUGGAUAGCCGACCGCAGAGGGUGAUAGGCUACACUGGGACUGAGACACGGCCCAGACUCCUACGGGAGGCAGCAGGAGGGAAUCUUCGGCAAGGGACGGAAGGCUAACCGAGCAACGCCGCGUGAGUUAAGAAGGUUUUCGGAUCGUAAAGGUCUGUUAUGAGAGAAGAACAAAUGUGGGAGUUAAUAGUGCUGGCUGUGAAGUACUCGUUCUAGAAAAGAACGAUAAGCUAGUG